rnacentral:rRNA from 1 species
AAGGCUUGGUCCUGACUUUGCCAUCAGCUUUAACUAAACUUACACAUGCGAGUAUCCGCACCCCUGUGAGAAUGCCCCGCUACCUCCUGCUUGGAGGCGAGGAGCCGGCAUCAGGCACAAUCUUUUUAGCCCACGACGCCUUGCUAAGCCACACCCCCAAGGGGAAUUCAGCAGUGAUAAAUAUUAAGCCAUGAGUGAAAACUUGACUUAUUAGUGUUUACAGGGCCGGUAAACCUCGUGCCAGCCACCGCGGUUACACGAUGAGGCUCGAGUCGAUAGAUACCGGCGUAAAGGGUGGUUAAGACAAAACCGUUCUAGAGGAAAACACCUUUCAAACUGUUAUACGCACCCAAAGGUAAGAAAAACUUGCACGAAAGUCCCUCUAAUAAAUCCGAAUCCACGACAGCUCUGGUACAAACUGGGAUUAGAUACCCCACUAUGCUCAGCCGUAAACUUAGAUGAUCAAUUAUAAUGUUCAUCCGCCAGGGUACUACGAGCGAAAGCUUAAAACCCAAAGGACUUGGCGGUGCUUCAGACCCCCCUAGAGGAGCCUGUUCUAGAACCGAUAUUCCUCGUUAAACCUCACCGCCCCUUGUUAGUCCCGCCUAUAUACCGCCGUCGUCAGCUUACCCUUUGAAGGCGAUUAAAGUAAGCAAGACAGUUAAAAACAAACACGUCAGGUCGAGGUGUAGCGAGGGGCGGGAAGAAUGGGAUACAUUCUAUCAUCCAGAGAAAAACGGAAGGGACGCUGGAAAACAUCCCCGAAGGGGAUUUAGCAGUAGUAGGAGUACAUUUAAAUAAA